AGAGUUUGAUCCUGGCUCAGGAUGAACGCCGGCGGUGUGCCUAAUACAUGCAAGUCGAACGCGUUGGCCCAACUGAUUGAACGUGCUUGCACGGACUUGACGUUGGUUUACCAGCGAGUGGCGGACGGGUGAGUAACACGUAGGUAACCUGCCCCAAAGCGGGGGAUAACAUUUGGAAACAGAUGCUAAUACCGCAUAACAAUUUGAAUCGCAUGAUUCAAAUUUAAAAGAUGGUUUCGGCUAUCACUUUGGGAUGGACCUGCGGCGCAUUAGCUUGUUGGUAGGGUAACGGCCUACCAAGGCUGUGAUGCGUAGCCGAGUUGAGAGACUGAUCGGCCACAAUGGAACUGAGACACGGUCCAUACUCCUACGGGAGGCAGCAGUAGGGAAUCUUCCACAAUGGGCGCAAGCCUGAUGGAGCAACACCGCGUGAGUGAAGAAGGGUUUCGGCUCGUAAAGCUCUGUUGUUAGAGAAGAACGUGCGUGAGAGCAACUGUUCACGCAGUGACGGUAUCUAACCAGAAAGUCACGGCUAACUACGUGCCAGCAGCCGCGGUAAUACGUA
rnacentral:rRNA from 1 species